rnacentral:rRNA from 1 species
AUUGAACGCUGGCGGCAUGCCUUACACAUGCAAGUCGAACGGUAACAGGUCUUCGGAUGCUGACGAGUGGCGAACGGGUGAGUAAUACAUCGGAACGUGCCCGAUCGUGGGGGAUAACGAGGCGAAAGCUUUGCCAAUACCGCAUACGAUCUACGGAUGAAAGCGGGGGAUCUUCGGACCUCGCGCGGACGGAGCGGCCGAUGGCAGAUUAGGUAGUUGGUGGGAUAAAAGCUUACCAAGCCGACGAUCUGUAGCUGGUCUGAGAGGAUGAUCAGCCACACUGGGACUGAGACACGGCCCAGACUCCUACGGGAGGCAGCAGUGGGGAAUUUUGGACAAUGGGCGAAAGCCUGAUCCAGCCAUGCCGCGUGCAGGAUGAAGGCCUUCGGGUUGUAAACUGCUUUUGUACGGAACGAAAAGCCUCUUUCUAAUAAAGAGGGGUCAUGACGGUACCGUAAGAAUAAGCACCGGCUAACUACGUG